rnacentral:rRNA from 1 species
GACGAACGCUGGCGGCGUGCUUAACACAUGCAAGUCGAACGGAAAGGCCCUGCUUUUGUGGGGUGCUCGAGUGGCGAACGGGUGAGUAACACGUGAGUAACCUGCCCUUGACUUUGGGAUAACUUCAGGAAAUUGGGGCUAAUACCGGAUAGGAGCUCCUGCUGCAUGGUGGGGGUUGGAAAGUUUCGGCGGUUGGGGAUGGACUCGCGGCUUAUCAGCUUGUUGGUGGGGUAGUGGCUUACCCAGGCUUUGACGGGUAGCCGGCCUGAGAGGGUGACCGGCCACAUUGGUACUGAGAUACGGCCCAGACUCCUACGGGAGGCAGCAGUGGGGAGUAUUGCACAAUGGGCGGAAGCCUGAUGCAGCAACGCCGCGUGCGGGAUGACGGCCUUCGGGUUGUAAACCGCUUUCGCCUGUGACGAAGCGUGAGUGACGGUAAUGGGUAAAGAAGCACCGGCUAACUACGUG